CAAAGGUCAAAAAGUUCCCAACACCAGGUACAUGAAUAGGGACUAAGGAAACAUAAUACGACUAACUCCACAGAGGUGUGCUGACAGGAUAGAGUAGUAUUAAUGUAAGACACAACAAAGUGUAGAGCUGCUAGCAAUUCCGGGCACUUAAUACGACCAUUACAUAAUUUGAACAGAAAAAGCAAACCUGCACAAAUGGUUUCCUGAUGAAGGGAAAGCAUAUUGAAUCUGAUGAAAAUUUACGCCGAACAGAUUCAAGUCUAACAAUGUGAACAGUAUAGUUUGGAUACCAGAGUGGAGCCACAUAAAGUAAUCUGAAAAUUUUAACUGAUAGACAUCUGUGGUGGGAUCCCAGGUGGAAUCUGUGUGCAGUAGAUUGUCCCGCAGCAAUUAUGCCAUCUUGCAGCUUCGAGACUAUGUGCAUGCAUAUACACUUAAAAGCUUUUAUU